GACUAGAGAGAGAGAGAGAGAGAGAGAGAGGGAGAGAGAGAGCAGCCCAUUGAGGAAAGAUGGCUACAGUCACUGCAAACGGAGUGCAGCAGGAGAAUGGAUUCAGCACCACGAACAGCGCCGGCAGGAUGAACGGACUCACCAUCGGUCAGAACACCAUCCCCAUGAAGGACCACGACGCCAUCAAGCUUUUCAUCGGCCAGAUCCCCCGAAACCUGGAGGAAAAGGACCUGAAACCCCUGUUUGAGGAAUUCGGAAAGAUAUACGAACUCACUGUACUGAAAGACAGGUUCACGGGGAUGCAUAAAGGAUGUGCCUUUCUAACAUAUUGUGCCAGAGAGUCAGCACUGAAAGCCCAGAGCGCCCUCCAUGAACAGAAGACUCUCCCGGGGAUGAACCGGCCCAUCCAGGUGAAGCCCGCAGACAGCGAAGGACGGGGAGAAGACAGGAAGCUGUUUGUGGGGAUGCUGGGGAAGCAGCAGAGCGAGGACGACGUCCGGCGGCUGUUCGAGACCUUCGGCCAGAUCGAGGAGUGCACCGUCCUGCGAGGGCCUGAUGGGGCCAGUAAGGGUUGUGCAUUUGUCAAAUUCUCAAGUCACGCAGAAGCACAAGCGGCAAUCAACAGCUUGCACGGUGGACAGACGAUGCCGGGCGCCUCAUCCAGCCUGGUGGUCAAGUUUGCCGACACUGAUAAGGAGAGGACCCUGCGCAGGAUGCACCAGAUGGCGGGUCAGCUCGGGAUCUUCAGUCCCAUGACCAUCCAGUUUGGGGCCUAUGGCGCCUACUCUCAUGCUGUAAGUCUCAGCCCGGCGGGGGAGGAGACGCAGAUGAUGCAACAGCAAGCAGCACUGAUGGCAGCAACACAAGGGUCCUACCUGAACCCCAUGGCCGCCAUAGCCGCCGCACAGAUGCAGCAAAUGGCAGCUUUCAAUGUCAACGGUCUGGUGGCUACUCCCAUGACACCAUCCUCAGGCACCAGCACACCUCCAGGCAUCUCUGCCACUGCCGUGCCCAGCAUAGCCACUCCCAUCGGGGUGAACGGGUUCAGUGCCCUCCCGCCUCAAACCAACGGGCAGCCCACCUCUGAGCCCAUCUACACCAACGGCAUCCAUCCUUACCCAGCACAGAGUCCAACGGUGGCCGACCCGCUCCAGCAGGCUUACGCCGGCGUCCAGCACUACGCAGCAGCCUACCCUGCCGCCUAUGCGCCAAUCAGCCAAGCGUACCCCCAGCAGCCAACCAUCAUUCCCCAGCAACAGAGGGAAGGACCAGAAGGCUGCAAUUUGUUUAUUUAUCACCUGCCACAGGAGUUCGGAGAUGCCGAGCUCAUGCAAAUGUUCCUGCCCUUCGGCAACGUCAUCUCUGCCAAAGUGUUUGUGGACCGAGCGACCAAUCAGAGCAAAUGUUUUGGCUUUGUGAGUUUUGAUAACCCGUCCAGUGCUCAAGCGGCUAUCCAGGCUAUGAAUGGCUUUCAGAUAGGAAUGAAGAGGCUGAAAGUGCAGCUAAAGCGGCCAAAGGAUGCCAACCGACCUUACUGACUCGUCUGCAGUCCACAGCCAGAGUGAGGUGCUCUUUCUGCUAAAUCCACUCCUCCACAUCUGCAAUGGGGCCACACCUGAUGAAGGACCACAACACCUUAUUUCCACAAGUGCAGUAAAAGUACAAGGACUUCUUGCUCUGCUACAUAUCAUGAAGGAAGGUGGUCCCUUGAUCCUGCCGGAAGACCUGCUACAAAGACCGGGUGACUGAGAGACGGAUCCCAGAGUAGUUUUCCCCUUUUCCUUUUUUUUUUUUUUUUUUUUUUUUAAUUUCCUCGCAAAUGCCUCUUAUUUUCCCUGUUUUGCUUCGGCAUCGACAGAAGAAGAUUUUUUGCAGAGACCAACUUUUUUGCUGCUGUUUUUUAGACAUGACGGGGGAAAAAAAAACCUUUAUAGACUCAUUAUGCUCAGAGCAUGCAUACGGAUACACAUGGAACAUACUCUAAACACGCAAAAAGGAAAAGAACAAAAAAAAAAAAAUACUUUGUACAUGUAUAAAUAAGUGCAAAUGCCAACUCAAGUACUGGAGCAAACACGCAUACACAAACACACACACCAGCCUGCUGCCAUUUUGGUUUUUGUGCCUACACAGGUGUUGUGCUCUGUGACAGGGCGAGAUCUGGAUAUAGAAGAAGAUGAGGAGGAGAAUCCAGGAUAAUUUACAUGCAUCAUUCCUUAGAAAAUAGGGACCAAAGGACUAAACGCUUUUUAAAAGAAUAUAAAUAUAUAAAUAUAUAUAUAUAUUUAAAAACUCAUAACUUGUAGCUGCAAGUAUUACAAAUUACUCGUAGGUGGAAAAAAAGCAUUAAAUCAAUAUCCAGUGGCCUAUAAGUACGAGAUCAUGGAAAUAAUGUAUUCUAAAAAAAAGACUCGGUAGUGUAGGGGCUGACCUUUUUUGCCCUGGAUGCUGGUUUAGCACCAGGAUGUAGAAUAGUGCAGUAGGUUUUCGGGAGGGGGGUAAAAAAAAUCAAUGUAGAUUUUUGCUGUUGUUGAGAAAAAUACUUGAAGAAGGAGACAAAGGUGAAGGAGAAUCUGCUGGCGUCCACGACAAGCAUCGUUCACUCAACUGCCACUGGAUAUCGCACUCGUCAUGACGGAUUAGUCUUCACGCUCUCUGACAGCCCUAAAGAAAAUUGCGCCCGAUGAUAAAAGGGAGAAAAGAUUGUCAAGACAAAACAGGACUUCAAAUGUCUGAGCUGGGGGACCAUCCACUGAAAUGGCCAGGUGAAACCAGGUGUCUUGUUUUGGUCUUCAUUUGAGUGAAGUCGGAAGCAGGAGGCGACAGAAGCAGUCAGCAGUAGAAGUCCUACAAUGCUUGAGCGGAAUCUUGUUCAUGAAAAGUGUCCUCGAACACAACUACUCAUGUUUUUUUUUUUGUCUUUACAGUAGGAACUUGGUUCACUUUUGACAGCGCGCCAAAAUAUUGGGGUACCACUGGAGUAGUAAAUCUGAAUGAAACACGUUGAAAGUACACAUCCAGUUUACUUCUGGACGUGUGUGGCGCAAUUCCAGUUCAAGCUCAUCUCUGCACCGUCUGACUAAGUUUGACUCACCUUAUCCCAGUCGAGUUUAAAGUAUCACGACUGUAAUAUGGUAAUUGCAUUCAGAAGAGAGUGUUUUAUUCCUGGACAUUCGCCAUUCUAUCUAAAAAUUUGUGCCCCAGAUCUGUGCUUUGAGACGUUUGCUCUCACGACGCAUCACCCCACUGGCCAAGCAGAGGCCUACAACUCUGGCCAGUGACGCCUUGCCUCAUUUCAUCCCAGUUAUGGAACUGCUACUCAAGUCCUACUCAGCCCCACCAUGGAACUUUCAAACAGAAAACCUUAAGAGUGAGCUAUCCUCAGAUAGAUUCGCCUAGAUUUGGGUGACAGCAUUGUAGACCCAACAAUAGUGGUCGAGGAACAGACCCGGGUCAUCUGUCAAAUAGUGGAAUAAUGGUCCUUUCACCUCCAUUUAUUGAUGAACCUGUUAUGAAAAGCCAGACGAAUAAUCCCAAAACAAAAGCUUGCUUUUUCCCUCCGGUGAAUGCGACAUGCUUUUAAAGCAUUUAGAGCACUACAGUGGGCAAAAGAGACUAGCGCAGAAGCUAAUGCGAGGGUGCCACCAAGCAUCACUUUCAAUGCUAAAAGCCUCCGAGUGACAAAAGCUGCCUCCACCUAUUCAAUCAAAAUGUAAAAGUACUUUUAGCUGUUGUUCAAAAUUGGUUUGCUUCAUUUCCGUCGCGUAAACAAGCUAAAAAGCGUGUAAUUUAGACCCGACCGUCUGCUAAGUAUCACCACGUCUGGAGCUAGGCGGGACAGUAUGAAGUAUUCUGGCACUGCAACGUGUUGAUUUAGAGUCCAACAGCCUUCAUUUUGACUGUUUUAGCACCGCGGAUGGAGACUCUUGUGAAAAAGCAGAUCAAUAUGUUGGGAAUGAGUCUUGAGGGAGGAGCGAUUCUGCUUCACUGUCGAGCACCGGCUCACAUCCGUACACAGAGGCGCUCACAGUCCUGACAGCUGGCAGUAGGAAAUCGGAGCAUUGAUAAAGUGUGUGCGGAAAGAACUCAGCAGCUGAACAGAACAUUAGGAUCCUUCUGACUAAUGUUUCUGGGUCGGUGCCCAAAAUUUUAAGUUGUAAUCAAGCUGGCAGAGAGAGGGAGUAUAUUGAUGCUACUCCUUCAUGUGGAUCAUCAAUUCGCCAGCUCCAUCAGAUCUAUGAAUUCAUCAAAGCAUGUUAACAGUGGGGGGAAAAAAAAAGGCCCUCGAUUCAUGAGUCCGCCAUGCUGAAGCCCCCAGAGGUUGACUGAACAGUUCAGCGGCUCUCUCUGUGUAACAAGGUUCUCGAAACCGGCUAAUACCCUUCAAUUAUCUCCAGCACCAUAUUAGACAUGCUAUUUCACCUUUGGCUCUAAAUCGCACGCUGAUCACCAGCCUCUAUACAUUAGCAGCAACCAAGUGAAAAAUCGGCUGGAUAAUCACUUGGACCCAAUGACGGGAGGGUCGCUCUCUUCGCAUGCUCGCAGAUGACAGAAGGGAAGAUUAGCACGAAUUAUGUUAGCGCCAACUCCCUGGCACGGCUGCUGACAGCUGACCUGGCACUGGUACCGCCGCCAAAUUCGCUCGUGAAAAUCACGAAGAAGCAUGUAGGACGAAGCCGCCAUUAUGAUCUGCAUGUUUAUAAUGGCAGGGAUGGAAAACGCCAGGAAGAAAAGCCAAAAGCUCGAGCGCGACGAGAACAAAAGAAGCAGCUGUGUUUUCGCGCUCCUACUUUUAGCACAUAAUUGGGUUUUAGAUAUCUCCCACGGAGGCAGCGUUUUUUUUUUUCUCCAAAAUAACUCUGUAUACACUUCCCCCAUCUAUCUGGGACACUUACUUUUGUUCUGCUUUUAAAUCCAAGAAAAUGUGUGGGGUAAAAGCUCACCCUCAAUAGGCAAGGCUCAAUGCCUGUGAGGUGUUAAUCUGAGAGCUGAUGUUAUGCAAGGCUAUGAUAGGCAACCCGAUGUCGACCAACCCUUGAAGAACAUAUCAUCACUCCCAUGGCAACAUAGUAGUAGUAGAAGUAGUAGUAGUGGUAACGUUACUAAGGAUGAGAGUCAGUUAAGGGGUUAGAAAUGGGAAAUGACAUCCAAAAUUAGUUCUCUCUGCACACACGAUCCCCUGCCUCUCAAACCCUACCUCCCACUGAAUGGGGGAAACGUGCUUUUAGUCCAUUGAAAUACAUGUACCUCAACAUGCUACACUGAAGGCUACAUUUGUUGUCAGUAUAGGACACAAAAGUUGUCUUUCCCAACAUCAAUACAUUGUUGGAGUGAGGAUGUGUUGCUUCAUAAAUGAACCCACCUUCACCUUCACCUUCUUCUGCCGCAUAUCCGGAGUCAGGUCGUGGAGGCAGAUUUCGCCGAAAGGAAGCCCAAACUUCCCGAUCCGCACAAACCUCCUCCAGCUCUUCCCAGGGAAUCCCGAGGCGUUCCCAUCCCAGACAAGAGACAUAAUCUCUCCAGCGAGUCCUGGGUCUUCCCCGCGGUCUCCUCCUGGUAGGACAUGCCCAGAACACCUCCCCAGGGAGGCAUCCAAGGGGCAUCUGGGUCAGAUGCCCGAGCCACCUCAACUGGUUCCUUUCGAUGUGGAUGAGCAGCGGCUCCACCCCGAGCUCCUCCCGGAUGACCACACUCCUCACCCCAUCUCUAAGGGUGCACCCAGCCACCCUGCGGAGGAAACUCAUCUCAGCCACUUGUAUCCACCCAAUCGAUUUCAAUUCAAACCCACUAGUUCUAUUCAUCUAUGUGGAUUCUGACAUUGAAGUCAUUUAGGGCUAUAAAGCCAACAAAUCCGAUGGUUCUUCGGAGAGUUCUACUUUACUCAUCUGGUCUAAUGUAUGCCUGCAAACAAUGAGGCAUUUUAGGAAAUAGCAAAGCGAAGGCUCGAAGGUGCUCACUCCUUAACCUCGAAAGCUUCCACAACAUCCUAUAGCAGCCAGUUUAAAAUGUGGCGGUUAAGGGCAUGAUGAGUUUGUGUUGUCAUAAAACAAGUAUUGAGGAAUUCUUCAUUAACAAGGUGCAACCGGAAGAGCACCUCACACUACCCAAAACUACUCUAGCUGACAUUCCCUUCCUCUCCAACUGAGCACAAGAAAUUAAUAAACCCCCUUUUCUCCCAGUUGCCAGUGCAUCAGAGCUCAUGUGGCCUCAAGAGAAUCUUCCAUGCACAAAGGACCCCAACCCCGGCCGAGUCUCCAACCCCUUGGGUGCAGAAAACUCGCCCGAAAAUAGCAGUGAUUGUCAAGGAAAGGAAGUGAAAUGUAAUUGACUGAAAGUGGAAAGAUAAUUAAAGGGACCUGUUGGACAGGAGGGAUGAAAUUAAUGCUUCUGACUUAAUGGCUGCUUUGGGAGGCGAGACGAUCCGUCGUUCCACUUUAGUGUGGGGAAGCUGUGGAAAUAGGAUUUGGUUGGGGAAAAGGGCAGAGAUGGAAGUGGGAGGUGCUGAAGCUGAAACUCCUCUAAAAACUCUCAGGGCAUCAGGCGAUAUGAUGUCAUGUUUAGUGGAGCGGUUUUGGGUCGCUAGAAUCCUGCUUCCAUUCAAUUCGAUCGGAAUCAAAACAAGACACCGUCGCCCGGUCCGAAAAUGCACAGUGGUAGCUUCAAGUCUGGCUUGGAUUGAGAGUAAUAAAGACUUUUUUUUUCAAUUUCUUAUUGUAAAUAUCCUGUUUAAAAAAAAGAAGGUUGUACAGAUGAGCGUGUCGAGAAGCCCAACUCUGUGGAACAAUGAUGUCAUAUAAAAAUGUGUCCACAGCAGUGUCGGGAUUUAGGGAAGCCCUCUUAAGCCCCGCUUCUGGUCAAACCGUGUGUCCAACAACUCUUAAGCAUCGGACCAAGAUGGUACAAAAGUGAAGAUUUGUUGCACACGUGCGCGUUUUCCUGGCAGGACCGACCACCCGAGUCAUCGGAUCAGUCCGAGGGACGCCGACGAACAAACGUGGCGGCUGCGCUCAUCCAUCAGCAUGCUCGACAGAGUGGAGAAACAGAGUCAGCGGCCGUCAUGAAUAUCUGGGGCCUCGGACGGAAAAUGUAACAUGAAAAUGUACAUAAACUGUUUUCAAAACGGGACAUUUCAUACACAGCCAGAACCACUCGGUCAGUGUGGACUGCAGGACGCCGGCCGAACAAGAGAGCGAUGACAGUAGAUCCCAGCUGAACUCUCCACGACGCCAGCUCGACCCGACCUGCCACCGCUCUGACCACACCGCUGCAUUACCCCUGUACAUACAAUAUAGCUUAUUUUUCAAUUUUGUUCUUUAUAGGGCAUACGAUAGAUCAUGCUCAGACAUUUAAAAAAAGAAAAGAAAAGAAAAGCUAAUAUAUUGUUUCACUUCAACUUAGAAGAGCAAGCUACACAAUAAUUUAUCAAAAGAUGGUUUUAUUUCUUGUACAGUGAAGUACUCAAAAAAAAGUUGGAUUUUAUACUCAUGUUGGGAAAAUUCUUUAUUUAUUCUCCUCGACUGAAGCUGGGACUGACCCAUUGUCAUGAGGUUUGCUCCGACGUUCUUUGAUCAUCUCUGUUGUUGUUUCUUUAUCAUGUUUUGAGGCUGCACAAUCCCUGAGUGAAAACCCCACAUGGAUGGGUGAGUUCAAAGAGAUGUUGCUCACAGCGGGCUCUUAAAUCCAUACAAUUAAUCAAACUCAUUUAACAAGGUUGAUGGUCGUGGGGAAAUUUGCACAGUUCCAAUGAAAGUGGUGCAUGAUCAAAAAGAAUCUCAGCUGAGGCCUUGUGAGGAGACUUUUGCAGAACAAGGCUGUUUUUGUUAAAACCCACAUUCUUUGUCUUUUUGAAAAGUUGUUGAACAUGUAUCAGGGUUUUAUAUCCUCUGUUUCUACUUCCUUGAGCCCUAGAUAUACUCCGCCGCAGCUAGACAGAAGGUGUUUUGAACGACGAACACGGAUGUUUGUUCAACAAUGCGUCUCAAACACAACAUGUCCACUCAUUUAAAAUAGUUCAGACAGUGCUAGGUAGAGGUGUCCUGCCAGCCUGAACUAAAUUUGGAAAUUCGCAUCCACACUCCAAGCAAGGAGGGCAUCCUCCCCAUGACAAUGAGAAAUGACCAAAGUCAAAGAUGACUAUGAGAAGUUUUACAGCUUUGGCAACCACAUUUUAUUUGAAAACCUGAUGGCAUUAACAUGAGGCUCGAGCAGUGGCUCUGAUCUACGCCGAUACUUUCACCUUAUGCUCAACGUUACAUACCGAUCCGCAUACAGACGAAGCCUUCUGUCCGUGCUCUGCGUUCAUUUCGUCCAAAACUCUGCAUGUUUCCACAAAGCUUACGGAUACAGACCAAAAACAGAGCAGUACCACAGGAAACCGUUGUUGUUACUACACGAUACAAAGCUCCAAUGUAACAUGAAGAAGACAGCAACGGCAGAAAAUCUUCAUCCUCCAGUCAUGACGCAUGUAACAGCCUCACCGACCACCGCCUCCUUUAACGCUUUCACUGUUUCCUCUUUUGUGCAAGAGGUACGUUAUCAGUACUCCUUCCAGAGGGGCCAUGUUUGUCUUGGAGUUUGUUGUUAAACUUUUGACUCUGGGCUGCUCCCUCUGGUGGCUAUAUUGGUGAACAGCAAUAGUAACGCCAAGAACCCAUGGAAGCAUGUGAUCAGUGACGGUAACAUCGUUUGAAACGGACAAAAAAAGGGAGAUCCCACAUGUUAAAACAGUCAGAAAAGUGACAGGCCUUGCAUCACACCUGCUGUCAUUACGUCCAGUAUUUCUAGGGCUGAAGACUUUCCAUUAAAAUGGUGCGUUCAAGGGAAAGUUGCUGAGAAUGUUUUCCUUUAUAUCAGGUUGUUAAUGUGAGGAUGGAAUUCUGCCUUAAACCAAACUUGCUCCCGCAAACUGGGAGCACGGUUUGGACGCACUGGAGGGGACGCGAAAAAAGAAACUUUGUGAAAGACAUUUUGCCUCAAUUCCAUUCCGCCUCCACCUCCAUCGGUUACAAGGACCAAAUCGCAAACAAACUCAGCCAACUGAGCGGUUUGCUUCAAUCAAGCAAUCAAAGCCUUCAGAGAAUUCUCAUUGGAAAUUUCCUUCCACGAAUCGUUGCAUUCCCAGCUUCGCGAUCUAAUUUCAUCACCUCCAUUUGUUCUCAUGCAUUAUUAAUUGAAAUAUAUUUAUUCUCAGUGAGUGGAAUUUCAUCAUUAGUCUUGAACAAACAGAUUCACUGUUUCUUUUUGUUCGAAACAGAGAUGUAAUUUGAAUUGGCUCGGGUCCCUUUACCCUGAUUCGGGGUGAUAUCGCCCAUAGUGCUCCUGAACUCUGUAGUUCUCUAGUUCAUUAUAUCCUGCUUAGACUAAAAUAAAGCACAGUC